UACGUAGGGUGCAAGCGUUAAUCGGAAUUACUGGGCGUAAAGCGUGCGCAGGCGGUGAUGUAAGGCAGUUGUGAAAUCCCCGGGCUCAACCUGGGAACUGCAUCUGUGACUGCAUCGCUGGAGUGCGGCAGAGGGGGAUGGAAUUCCGCGUGUAGCAGUGAAAUGCGUAGAUAUGCGGAGGAACACCGAUGGCGAAGGCAAUCCCCUGGGCCUGCACUGACGCUCAUGCACGAAAGCGUGGGGAGCAAAC
rnacentral:rRNA from 1 species